UUUAAUUCGAAGCAACGCGAAGAACCUUACCAGGUCUUGACAUCCUCUGACAAUCCUAGAGAUAGGACGUUCCCCUUCGGGGGACAGAGUGACAGGUGGUGCAUGGUUGUCGUCAGCUCGUGUCGUGAGAUGUUGGGUUAAGUCCCGCAACGAGCGCAACCCUUGUCCUUAGUUGCCAGCAUUUAGUUGGGCACUCUAAGGAGACUGCCGGUGACAAACCGGAGGAAGGUGGGGAUGACGUCAAAUCAUCAUGCCCCUUAUGACCUGGGCUACACACGUGCUACAAUGGAUGGUACAAAGGGCUGCGAGACCGCGAGGUUUAGCCAAUCCCAUAAAACCAUUCUCAGUUCGGAUUGUAGGCUGCAACUCGCCUACAUGAAGCCGGAAUCGCUAGUAAUCGUGGAUCAGCAUGCCA
rnacentral:rRNA from 1 species